rnacentral:rRNA from 1 species
UGAGGAAUAUUGGUCAAUGGGCGGAAGCCUGAACCAGCCAUCCCGCGUGAAGGAAGAAGGCCUUAUGGGUUGUAAACUUCUUUUCUGUUUGAAGAAUAAGCUUGUCGUGACAAGUGAUGCCGGUAGGACAGGAUAAGCAUCGGCUAACUCCGUGCCAGCAGCCGCGGUAAUACGGAGGAUGCAAGCGUUAUCCGGAUUUAUUGGGUUUAAAGGGUGCGCAGGUGGUUUAAUAAGUCAGUGGUGAAAGUCUGCCGCUUAACGGUAGGAUUGCCAUUGAUACUGUUGGACUUGAAUAUGGAUGAGGUAGGCGGAAUGUGUAGUGUAGCGGUGAAAUGCUUAGAUAUUACACAGAACACCGAUUGCGAAGGCAGCUUACUAAUCCAUGAUUGACGCUAAGGCACGAAAGCGUGGGGAUCAAGCAG